UGGGGAAUUUUGGACAAUGGGCGAAAGCCUGAUCCAGCAAUGCCGCGUGUGUGAAGAAGGCCUUCGGGUUGUAAAGCACUUUUGUCCGGAAAGAAAUGGCUCUGGUUAAUACCUGGGGUCGAUGACGGUACCGGAAGAAUAAGGACCGGCUAACUACGUGCCAGCAGCCGCGGUAAUACGUAGGGUCCAAGCGUUAAUCGGAAUUACUGGGCGUAAAGCGUGCGCAGGCGGUUGUGCAAGACCGAUGUGAAAUCCCCGAGCUUAACUUGGGAAUUGCAUUGGUGACUGCACGGCUAGAGUGUGUCAGAGGGGGGUAGAAUUCAACGUGUAGCAGUGAAAUGCGUAGAGAUGUGGAGGAAUACCGAUGGCGAAGGCAGCCCCCUGGGAUAACACUGACGCUCAUGCACGAAAGCGUGGGGAGCAAACAGG
rnacentral:rRNA from 2 species